rnacentral:rRNA from 1 species
CCUUUCAAGUAAAUGCAUGUGGCGGAUGCCUUGGCGAUCACAGGCGAAGAAAGACGCGGCAGCCUGCGAAAAGCUGCGGGGAGCUGGCAAACGAGCUUUGAUCCGCAGAUAUCUGAAUGGGGGAACCCACACCGCAAGGUGUAUCCGUAGCUCAAUACAUAGGUUACGGAGGCGAACGAGGAGAACUGAAACAUCUAAGUAUCCUCAGGAAAAGAAAUCAACCGAGAUUCCGGCAGUAGCGGCGAGCGAACCCGGAGGAGCCCAGCUUUUGAUAGUACGAACUUUAGCCGAAAGGUCCUGGAAAGGCCUGCUAUAGUGGGUGAUAGCCCCGUAGGCGAAAGAGUUGGUACGGUACUAAGGAAGCGAGAAGUAGAGCGGGACACGUGGAAUCCUGUUCGAAGACGGGGGGACCAUCCUCCAAGGCUAAAUACUCGUGAUCGACCGAUAGUGAACCAGUACCGUGAGGGAAAGGCGAAAAGAACCCCGGGAGGGGAGUGAAAUAGAACCUGAAACCGCAUGCAUACAAACAGUAGGAGCCUCGUCAGAGGUGACUGCGUACCUUUUGCAUAAUGGGUCAGCGACUUACAUUCUGUGGCGAGCUUAACCGAAUAGGGGAGGCGCAGCGAAAGCGAGUUCGAAAUGAGCGUUCAGUCGCAGGGUGUAGACCCGAAACCAGAUGAGCUAUCCAUGGCCAGGUUGAAGGUGUGGUAACACACACUGGAGGACCGAACCGACUAGUGUUGCAAAAUUAGCGGAUGAGCUGUGGAUAGGGGUGAAAGGCCAAACAAAUCUGGAGAUAGCUGGUUCUCCCCGAAAACUAUUGAGGUAGUGCCUCGUGUGUCGCUCCAGGGGGUAGAGCACUGUUUUGGCUAGGGGGACAUGGAGUCUUACCAAACCAAGGCAAACUCCGAAUACCUGGAAGCGUAAGCACGGGAGACAGAGCACCGGGUGCUAACGUCCGGACUCAAAAGGGAAACAACCCAGACCGCCGGCUAAGGUCCCAAAUAACAGCUAAGUGGAAAACGAAGUGGAAAGGCCGUGACAACCAGGAAGUUGGCUUAGAAGCAGCCAUCCUUCAAAGAAAGCGUAAUAGCUCACUGGUCGAGUCCUUCUGCGCGGAAGAUGUAACGGGGCUAAGCUGUUAACCGAAGCCGCGGAUGCGCUGGUUAUCCAGUGCGUGGUAGGGGAGCGUUCUGUAAGUCUGCGAAGGCGGUUCGAGAGGACUGCUGGAGAUAUCAGAAGUGCGAAUGCUGACAUGAGUAACGUUAAAGCAGGUGAAAAGCCUGCUCGCCGUAAGCCCAAGGAUUCCUGCUCUACGUUCAUCGGAGCAGGGUGAGUCGGCUCCUAAGGUCAGGCCGAAAGGCGUAGCCGAUGGGAAUCAGGUUAAUAUUCCUGAACCUGCGUCAGAUGCGAUGGGGGGACGGAGCAUGGAAGAUCAUCCGGGUGUUGGAAGUCCCGGUUGUUUAGCGUAGGAGGUCUGCAGGCAAAUCCGCAGACGCAUCUCCAAGGCAAAGACACGUGCCGCCACGGCGGCGAAGUGAUCGGAAGUGCUUCCAAGAAAAGCCUCUAAGCCCCAGUCUGAUGCGGACCGUACCGCAAACCGACACUGGUGGGCGAGCUGAAUAUGCUCAGGCGCUUGAGAGAACUCGGGAGAAGGAACUCGGCAAAUUGACACCGUAACUUCGGAAGAAGGUGUGCCGUAGUACCGUGAGAGGAGAGACACCUUGAGCGGGAAACGGUCUCAGAGAAUAGGUGGCUGCGACUGUUUAUUAAAAACACAGCACUCUGCAAAGUCGAAAGACGACGUAUAGGGUGUGAUGCCUGCCCGGUGCUGGAAGAUUAAUUGAUGGGGUGAGAGCCCUUGAUCGAAGUCCCAGUAAACGGCGGCCGUAACUAUAACGGUCCUAAGGUAGCGAAAUUCCUUGUCGGGUAAGUUCCGACCUGCACGAAUGGCAUAACGAUGGCCACACUGUCUCCUCCCGAGACUCAGUGAAGUUGAAAUGUUUGUGAUGAUGCAAUCUACCCGCGGCUAGACGGAAAGACCCCAUGAACCUUUACUGCAGCUUUGCAUUGAACUGUGAACCGAUUUGUGUAGGAUAGGUGGGAGGCAGAGAAGAGGCCACGCCAGUGGUCUUGGAGCCGACCUUGAAAUACCACCCUGAUUUGUUUGCGGUUCUAACCACGGACAGUGAUCCUGUCUUGGGACCGUGCAUGGUAGGCAGUUUGACUGGGGCGGUCUCCUCCUAAAGGGUAACGGAGGAGUACGAAGGUACGCUAGGUACGGUCGGAAAUCGUGCUGAUAGUGCAAUGGCAAAAGCGUGCUUGACUGCGAGAGCAACAACUCGAGCAGAUGCGAAAGCAGGUCAUAGUGAUCCGGUGGCUCUGAAUGGAAGGGCCAUCGCUCAACGGAUAAAAGGUACUCUGGGGAUAACAGGCUGAUACCGCCCAAGAGUUCAUAUCGACGGCGGUGUUUGGCACCUCGAUGUCGGCUCAUCUCAUCCUGGGGCUGUAGUCGGUCCCAAGGGUAUGGCUGUUCGCCAUUUAAAGAGGUACGUGAGCUGGGUUUAAAACGUCGUGAGACAGUUUGGUCCCUAUCUGCCGUGGGCGUUGGAAGAUUGACGGGGGCUGCUCCUAGUACGAGAGGACCGGAGUGGACGCACCUCUGGUGUACCGGUUGUCACGCCAGUGGCAUUGCCGGGUAGCUAAGUGCGGAAGAGAUAACCGCUGAAAGCAUCUAAGCGGGAAACUUGCCUGAAGAUGAGUCUUCCCGGAGGUUGAACCUCCCUCAAGAGUCGUCCGAGACCAGGACGUCGAUAGGUCAGGUGUGUAAGCGCUGUAAGGCGUUGAGCUAACUGAUACUAAUUGCUCGUGAGGCUUGAUCCU